UUAAACAUGAGAGUUUGAUCCUGGCUCAGGAUGAACGCUGGCGGCGUGCCUAACACAUGCAAGUCGAACGAAGCAAUUAAGAUGAAGUUUUCGGAUGGAAUCUUGAUUGACUGAGUGGCGGACGGGUGAGUAACGCGUGGAUAACCUGCCUCACACUGGGGGAUAACAGUUAGAAAUGACUGCUAAUACCGCAUAAGCGCACAGUGCCGCAUGGCAGUGUGUGAAAAACUCCGGUGGUGUGAGAUGGAUCCGCGUCUGAUUAGCCAGUUGGCGGGGUAACGGCCCACCAAAGCGACGAUCAGUAGCCGACCUGAGAGGGUGACCGGCCACAUUGGGACUGAGACACGGCCCAAACUCCUACGGGAGGCAGCAGUGGGGAAUAUUGCACAAUGGGCGAAAGCCUGAUGCAGCGACGCCGCGUGAGUGAAGAAGUAUUUCGGUAUGUAAAGCUCUAUCAGCAGGGAAGAAAAUGACGGUACCUGACUAAGAAGCCCCGGCUAACUACGUGCCAGCAGCCGCGGUAAUACGUAGG
rnacentral:rRNA from 1 species